UUUUUUUGGUAGUUUUUGAAGUAUAGUCUGCCCGCUGCUUGAAGGGCCGCGGUAUUUUGACCGUGCAAAGGUAGCAUAGUCAUUAGUUCUUUAAUUGUGAUCUGGUAUGAAUGGCUUGACGAGACAUGAGCUGUCUUUUUGAAUUUGUAUUUUGAGUUAAAAUUCUUAGAUGUUUUUAUGGGACGAGAAGACCCUAUAGAGUUUUACAUUAGGUUCUUUUGUUUGUUUUCCAUUAUUAUGUUUGUUUUGUUGGGGUGAUGGGAGGAUUUUCUUUAACUCCUCUUUGUUGUUAUAUUGAUUUAUAUUUGUUUUGAUCCAUUUAUUUUGAUUAUAAGAUUAAAUUACCUUAGGGAUAACAGCGUUAUCUUCCCUGAGAGUUCUUAUUGGCGGGGGGGUUUGCGACCUCGAUGUUGGAUUAAGGUUUAUUUUUGGUGUAGGAGCUGAAUAGAUUAGGUCUGUUCGACCUUUAAAAUCUU
rnacentral:rRNA from 1 species